CUUUUUUUUUUUUUUUAAGUGUUUGUGGGUCUUAAACACUUCUCAACCUGGAGAAGGAAUAUACUUUCAAGGACUCCUUGUGCUUAGAGUUCAUAACCAGUGUAGCAGCGAUUGCUUACAGGGUCCACUCACCCACAUUACAUUUUAGAGAAACGCUGUGGAGUGAGCUCCCAGCCUUGUUGACACUAUUAGGAAUGUCCCAACCCCCCCCCCCCCGCCGCCCAUUUGCUUUCCUCCACCCAGCCCCUGCCUCACUCACCCCACCCUUCCCUCUGGCCAUCACCACACUGUCUGAGUCCUGUGGGUUAUGUAUAUAUGUUCUUUGGCUGAUCCCUUCACCUACUUUCAUCCACUCCCCCCUCAGCUCCCUUGUGACAGCUGUUAGUCUGUUCUUUGUAUCUAUGCCUCUGUUUCUAUUUUGUUCAUUAGUUUAUUUUGUUCGUUAUAUUUCCCAUGUGAGAUCAUAUGGUACUUGUCUUUCUCCUACUGGCUUAUUUCACUUAGCGUAAUAACCUCCAGGUCAAUCCAUGCUGUUGCAAAAGGAUAUCGAACCUGCAACCUUGGCAUGUUGGGAUGAUGACAUUCUAACCCACUGAGCUCCCUGGCUGGGGAAAGCCAUUAUUUAAGCCACCAUUCUCAGACGAGAAAUCAUGGUGCCUGAGAGUGUUUCCUGGGACUGCCAAGGCAAUACCAGUGCCACCAGAGAAGCACUCAGCUUUCAACAAGAUCCACACAACAGGCAAGACUGGGUGGCGAGGAAUGCUGCCUCCAUGGCCACGUCCAGCUAGAUGGUGGGACCGCGCAGACCCUGGAGCUAACAGGGCCUGGGCAGUGCCAAGGGCCAGCCAAGGCCAGUCAUGCCCAUGUGAGCAUGUGCUGGGGGUCCAGCUAGCUGGGCCAUGGGUGUGUGUACGUGCCCGAGUAUGUUCCCAGGGGCCCCUACCUGCUGAUGGAAAAGAUCCUCCUCGCCAAACUCCGCUCCCUCCUCUUCACCCUCCUCCCCGUUCUCGGUCUCCCGAACCGCUGAGGACUGUUUCACAGUUCUAAUGGCCACUUCCUGUGGAGGACAACAGCCAUGGUCUCUCGGCCCCUCAGCUGUGCAGGCCCAGCCCACAUGGGAGCAGCAGUCAGCAUGCUUGGACAGGGUGUCACAGCGCUGCAGAGUACCAUCUGGGGACCUGGCCCAGGCUCUACCCCACGGCUCCUGUACCGCCUGGUGGGGCGGAGUAGGGAGAUCCCAGGACAAGGCAGAGGCACCCCCACACCCUAAACCCAGGCACACACCUCUCCAUCGGCGUUGACCAGGACUGUCCGGAAGUUCUCGCCUGUGCCCCAGCUGAUCUGAUUCUUCCACACAAGUGUCGAUGGGGGGCUGUGGGCCACCCCUGCACCAGCUGCCCACACCUGGGGACACACCAAAGGGCCUCCCUGUCAAUGCUGGCUCUGACCCUGAUGCAUGUGCUACCAGCCGGACCCUUAUCAGAGCCCCCUUUGAUGCACCAGGCAUUUGUUCCUUCCAGUCUUACUGGGUCCUACCCAGGAAUGAUGAUCACCAGGGUAUGGAAGAAGAGACUCAAGUUCACAGUGGCCAAGGGCACUGAUCUUGGCAAGCAGGCCAAGCUGGAUCUGAAGCCCGUCAUCUCCAGGGCCCAUGCCCAAGACUGUUACAUCUCUUGCCAACACCUGCUGGCCUGGAGAGCUGGACUCAGACCCGCCUCCACCGUGAGAUCCCGGCAUGUCACUUUGCCACACCAAAGGGCUUCAGAGAAGGCCCACUGGAACAACACCGGCACACAGGACCUGCCUCUUGAUCCUCCAGUUCCCCAGAGACUGGUCCUGAAAAGGGACAAUGCCUGACACAGCUGUGGAAGACCCAACUGGGGAACCUCCAUCCUGGGUCAAAGCCCCUUACCUUAUCUGAGCUGUUCUUCAGCUGCACAAACUUGCCCUCCAAGUCUAUCUCUUCGAUGCUGACGCUGCCUGAGGCUGAGGCCUGCUGGGCCAGGUGGAAGCUGCGGCUGCUGCUGCUGCCACCGCCGCCUGAACUGAUGCCACUGGAGCCUGUGCCCAGUGGGUCCUCCACCUCCAGCCGCCUCCGCUUGCUGCGGCUGGAGCGCCCCGCCAUGGACAUGCUGCUGCUGCUGCUUGAGGUGGCCCGUGAGAUGGUGACCCGUGACGAUGGGCUGGGGGACAGCUUCAGCCUGGGGUUUGAAGGGGGAACGGAGUGACUGGUAGUGGCAGCCAAGAGCCUGUUGGCCCAAGGAUGGAGCAGGACGGCCCAGAGAGUCUUGCGGUAGGCACUGAUCUCCAUGUCGAGGGCCAGCUUGAUGUCCAGCAGCUCCUGGUACUCGGCCAACUGCUGCGUCAUCACAUCCCGCAUUUCCGUCAUCUCCAGCUCCUUCGCGUCCAGCAUCUUCCGGAACCUGUCACGCUCCCCAGCCAUAGCCUCCUCUAGCUCUCGGAUCCGAUCCUCAGCUGCACUAGCCUGGGGAGGAGUCCGAGGCCAAGUCAGGGCAGCCUGGGGGGGUCAUGAGGAGAAGCCCACCCGGCUCUGGGACAGAGACCAGACCUGUGGGGGUCGGAGGGGCCAGGGAGCCAGCAGCCUUACUCAGGCACAAGAGGGAUGGGUCAGGCAUGGGCGAGUGCCUGACCUUCAAGAUUGCAACUACUGCCCAGAGGCAGGAGGAAGGACCUUGCUGGGGUUGUGAGGCAGGGGCAGGCGCAGGCGCAGGCAUGGACUCCCAAGAAUCACCUGCUUCUGGAGGCCGGAGAGCUGGUAGCUGAGAGACUCAACCCGCAUGCGUGCCUCCUUCAGCUCCUCACGGGCAGCGCUGGCGGCCUUGUCAUUCUGGUCAGAGCUCAGCUUGGCACUCUCCAGCUGAGGGGACAGGAGUGGGCAGAUGAGGCGACAGGUAUGGAGCAAGAGGAGCCACCGGUACUUUCCCACCUGUUCUGUCCCUCCCCCAUUCCCUGCCACCCCACCUGUCCCACCUGCCGUCCCGCCCCCCACCCUCUCCCAGCCCACCUUGGCCUGGUAGGCCUGCUCCAGCUCCAGCUUGUAGAGCCGCACUUGCUCGUCAUGCUGGCUGCGCAGCUCCUCGAGUGCCUGCGCCAUCUUGAAGUCGUACUCCUGCUGCCGGCUGCUGUCCACCUCCACCAGGCGCCGCUCGUGCCGCCGACGUGUCUCCCGCACCUCCUAGGGAAAGGGCACCCGACCUACUGAGGCAGGCGGCAGGGCUGGCGGGCUAGGGAUGACGGCCCUAGCCUGCCACCGACCCAUGCAGCUCGGCGGCGUGCUCACCCCGAGUGCCAGGUGCCAGCGAGGGCUCAAAACUGUAAACCGGGAACCUCUGGGGAGUUGCCCUGGUUACUCAUUCACAAAUUAUCCAUGGAUAUACACUUCACAAUCACCAGAAAGGACACAGCCCAGAUGUCCCUCAGAUGAUGAGUGGACAGGUGCCCACACACAGAAGCCACGAAAAGGAGUGAAGCACUGACACGAGCAUACACAGACCUGGAGCACACGAAGCUCAGUGAGAGGAGCCAGACACACAGCCACAGUGCGUAACUCGUUUACGUGAAACAUCCAGAACAGGCGUGUCCACAGACAGGAAGUAGGGAAUGGGGGUGACUGCUAAUGGGUGCAGAGCUUUUUGGGGAUGAUGGAAUGUCCUAGAAUUUGAGGUGCUGGUUGCUCAACCUUGUCAAUGUACUAAAAACCACUCUAAGAAUGGGACUGAUCCCCGAAAAAAAUUUACUUAUUAAAAAAUUGCAUAUUUAUGCCGUGGCUGGUGUGGUUCAGUGGAUUGAGUGCUGGCCUGAGAACCAAAAGGUUGCUGGUUCAAUUCCCAGUCAGGGCACAUACCUGAUUUGGAGGCCAGAUCCCGAGUUUGGGUUGUGCAAGAGGCAACUAAUCAUUAUUUCUCUCCUCUUUAAAAUAAAUUAAAUCUUUAAAAAAUACAA